rnacentral:rRNA from 1 species
CCCUAGUAACUGCGAGUGAACCGGGAAAAGCUCAAAUUUUGAAUCUGGCGGUCUUUAUGGCCGUCCGAGUUGUAAUCUAGAGAAGCGUCUUCCGCGCUGGACCGUGUAUAAGUUUCCUGGAAUGGAACGUCGUAGAGGGUGAGAAUCCCGUCUUUGACACGGACUGCCAGGGCUAUGUGAUGCGCUCUCGACGAGUCGAGUUGUUUGGGAAUGCAGCUCAAAUAGGGUGGUAAAUUCCAUCUAAAGCUAAAUACAGGCGAGAGACCGAUAGCGAACAAGUACCGUGAGGGAAAGAUGAAAAGAACUUUGGAAAGAGAGUUAAACAGUACGUGAAAUUGCUGAAAGGGAAACGCUUGAUGUCAGUCGCGUUCGUCGGGGAUCAGCCUUGCUCUUUUGCUCGGUGUACUUCCUGGCGAACGGGUCAGCAUCAGUUUUGUUCGUCGGAAAAUGGCUCGAGAAAUGUGGCACUCUUCGGGGUGUGUUAUAGACUCGGGUCGAAUACGACGUUCGGGACUGAGGAACUCAGCACGACCUUCGGGUUCGGGGCUUAGGCCCACGUUAACGUGCUUAGGAUGCUGGCAUAAUGGCCUUAAGCGACCCGUCUUGAAACACGGACCAAGGAGUCUAACUCGCAUGCGAGUGUUUGGGCGAUUAAAACCCGAGCGCGUAAUGAAAGUGAAAGUCGAGACCCCUGUCGUGGGGGGCAUCGACGCCCGGACCAGAGCUUCUGCGACGGAUCUGCGGUAGAGCAUGCGUGUUGGGACCCGAAAGAUGGUGAACUAUGCCUGAAUAGGGUGAAGCCAGAGGAAACUCUGGUGGAGGCUCGUAGCGAUUCUGACGUGCAAAUCGAUCGUCG